GUGAAUUGAAGCCAGUUGAGUUAGGCGUUUAGCUGUUAACUAAAUAUUUGCAGGUUGAAAUCCUGUCAAUUCAG
rnacentral:tRNA from 1 species